ACGGAGGAUGCGAGCGUUAUCCGGAUUUAUUGGGUUUAAAGGGUGCGUAGGUGGACUGUUUAGUCAGUGGUGAAAUGCUGAUGCUCAACGUUAGCAUUGCCGUUGAAACUGACAGUCUUGAGAGUGAUUGAGGCAGGCGGAAUGUGUGGUGAAGCGGGAAAAAGCAAAGAAAUCACGCAGAACCAAGAGAGCGAAGGCAGCUUCCAAAGCCACAACUGACACUGAGGCACGAAAGCGUGGGGAUCAAACAG
rnacentral:rRNA from 1 species